rnacentral:rRNA from 1 species
CCCUUAGAUGUUCUGGGCCGCACGCGCGCUACACUGACGAAUGCAACGAGCUUAUAACCUUGGCCGAAAGGUCUGGGUAAUCUCCAAAUUUCGUCGUGAUGGGGAUAGAUUAUUGCAAUUAUUAAUCUUCAACGAGGAAUGCCUAGUAAGCGCAAGUCAUCAGCUUGCGUUGAUUACGUCCCUGCGCUUUGUACACACCGCCCGUCGCUCCUACCGAUUGAAUGGUCCGGUGAAGCGUUCGGACCGUGGCCUUUGGACGGUUCGCCGUCUGUUGGCUGCGGGAAGUUCGUUAAACCUUAUCAUUUAGAGGAAGGAGAAGUCGUAACA